rnacentral:rRNA from 1 species
GACGAACGCUGGCGGCGUGCUUAACACAUGCAAGUCGAACGGAAAGGCCCUGCUUUUGUGGGGUGCUCGAGUGGCGAACGGGUGAGUAACACGUGAGUAACCUGCCCUUGACUUUGGGAUAACUUCAGGAAACUGGGGCUAAUACCGUAUCGGAGCUCCUGCUGCAUGGUGGGGGUUGGAAAGUUUCGGCGGGUGGGGUUGGAUUCGCGGCUUAUCAGCUUGUUGGUGGGGUAGUGGCUUACCAAGGCUUUGACGGGUAGCCGGCCUGGGAGGGUGGCCGGGGACAUUGGGACUAAGAGACGGACCAGAGGCCUACGGGAGGCAGCAGUGGGGAAUAUUGCACAGUGGGAGGAAGCCGGAGGAAGAAACGCCGCGUGCGGGAUGACGGCCUUCGGGUUGUAAACCGCUUUAGCCUGUGACGAAGCGUGAGUGACGGUAAUGGGUAAAGAAGCACCGGCUAACUACGUG